GAUGAACGCUGGCGGCGUGCCUAAUACAUGCAAGUCGAGCGAACAGACGAGGAGCUUGCUCCUCUGACGUUAGCGGCGGACGGGUGAGUAACACGUGGAUAACCUACCUAUAAGACUGGGAUAACUUCGGGAAACCGGAGCUAAUACCGGAUAAUAUAUUGAACCGCAUGGUUCAAUAGUGAAAGACGGUUUUGCUGUCACUUAUAGAUGGAUCCGCGCCGCAUUAGCUAGUUGGUAAGGUAACGGCUUACCAAGGCAACGAUGCGUAGCCGACCUGAGAGGGUGAUCGGCCACACUGGAACGUAGACACGGUCCAGACUCCUACGGGAGGCAGCAGUCGGGAAUCUUCCGCAAUGGGCGAGAGCCUGACGGAACAACGCCGCGUGAGUGAUGAAGGUCUUCGGAUCGUAAAACUCUGUUAUGAGGGAAGAACAAAUGUGUAAGUAACUAUGCACGUCUUGACGGUACCUAAUCAGAAAGCCACGGCUAACUACGUG
rnacentral:rRNA from 1 species